AUAUGACAAAAUUCCAGUUUCUCGCAUAUCUUACAAGCUAGAGAAGGCUGAUACUUCAGCAGCUUGAAUUCAGACAAGCCUUUGCAUCUGCUGCCGUUAUUUAUCUUGAAUCUGGUGUCAAGAAAGCUGCUGUGAAGGCCAACGUAUGAAGGUAUAUUGCUCUUUGCCUGUGAAGGACUGCGAGCUACCUAAGUCAACUUAAGAAGAUUAUAAAAAACCACUAAGCAGAAAGCGACAUGAAAAGCUUUUGUGUAAAACAGAAGAGCUGAUAUAUCUUUUGUAGACUUUCAAAAUAACUUGCAUAUCUCUUUCAAGGCACUUGUAAUGUUUGGAAAAAACUCUUUUCCAGAUGUGAUGUAAUUAUUUAUUUUUUAAUUAGCAAAGCCAAGAGGUACCACUUUGAUAUAGGAUUUCAAGAUGUGGGGGUUCAUUUUGUUUUGCAUUUGUUUUAGUUUCGCUUUCAUAUCCUGAAUGUUCUUGAAUUUCUACAAAGCAAUACUGAUUUACAGAAAAACAAAAGGAAGUAGGCAUUUUCCAUGACAUAACAUAAAGUUAAGUCAUUUUCCUGCAAACAGAUUCAAAUGUGAGCAAAGAUUAUUCUGUUUUUUGUCAAUUAGAUGACAGAAAGAUGUGCAGUUUUGAUCACAGCAUUGUGCAGAGAGCUCUAGCCCAACGCUUUACAGAAUCACAGAAUUGUUGGGAUUGGAAGGGACCUCUGGAGGUCAUUUAAGUCCAAUCUGUCUGCUAAAGCAUGUAACCUUUUUAGGUUGUCUCUUUCAGUGUAUGACUGAACUACUGUUGAGAAAAUUAGGAAAACUAUAGAACUCACAAGCCCAGAUGAAUUAUGCUUUAGACAUACUUCUACUGAAACUGAAGAGCAUCAAAAUGUUUUCUACAUAUGUAGAUACCACAACACAAAUGUCUGAAGUGAACUAGAAUUAAUAGAAAUGAUUUCAUAGUUUGUGUAUUCACUAUUCAUUCCUUAGAUUUAUAGUAACAUCAAUAAGAACUCUCCCACAAUAUGUCGUUUCAGAAUAUCUUGUGUAUAUCUUAUCUUUUGAAGAAACACAACUACAUGCAGUGUCUCCUACAGAUCUUUGGUUUCACACUGAAAACCACUUUUUGAAAUAAAUAAAUAAAUAAAUGACAACCAUUGACUUGACAGAGAAGAAAAUAUGAAAUGGAACUAAUAAAAAAUAGAAUGCAGUAAAAGAUUUUGAUACAAGCUGGAUAAAAGAGCAUUUCGUAAAGAGAUUCAAGGUAAAUGUUCAUUUUUUAUUUCCUUAUUGUCAUAGAUGGUGAGGUCAUAUGAGGCUAAUGGAUCUGUUUCACAGAAAGUUGUUGAUGAGGCUGCUUGAAUUGCUUCAUAAGCUGUUUCUUGUUGAUCCAGAAACUUCCAAAUGAUAUUUUUCUUUAUCUCCACUUGUUCCCUACUGAUGAUAUUUGGUAGGCCCUGACCUAAUUUUCUGGUCACAACUGUUAUU
rnacentral:lncRNA from 7 species